UGUCAUAAAGCGGCGGGAGUGGGCGGUGGGCGUCUGUGGAUGGAGCUUUCACUUGUGCUGGCGAAAGUAGCAAGGAGAGUAACUUUUGCCCCGCAGUUGGGGCGAAUCAAACAGCCAAGCCAUGUAAGCCCUUAAGUUAUAUUCUUGAAGCCCAGUUUGGACAUUUUUUACAAUGGUGACGUGUAUGGCGCAAGACUCUUCCCAGUCUUCUGGCCAAGCCAGCUGCAGAAUGGGGCUUUGGCGGCACCUGUACGUGCUUCCCCUCUGCGUUUUUAUCGGAUUCGUUGUUACGUUCUUCACGACGUACGCCAUAGCCGUGCAGCUGGACCACGUGAAGCCCAACUUCCCGUACAUCAGCGACGGCGGCACCUGCGCCCCCGAGUCCUGCAU